UACACAAUUAAAAAGCUAAAGCUAUAGUAUAGAUGGUACGAAGAUUUUGUUGUUUGUAAAUAGUUUUCAGCCAGGCAUUGUAUCGAUGGGGUUUUUUGAGCCUUUAAUUUUUGAUGUGGUAAUUUCUCCUUGUCAUCUUAUAUACUAGAGUAUGCUGCACUUUCUUUGACUUGUCCCCUUGGACAUUUGCUACUCGUACAGUUUUUAUUUCCUGCCUCUGGGUAGCAGUUUUUCCCCUUCUAGUUUCUUUCAAUUAGUUGAGAAAUACUUUCCAUUUUUCUUUUUUUUUUUUUAAUUGGCAUAUCAUCAUAAUUUUUAUGAGGAUACAUUUACCAUUUACAUUUGUUGGGAUCUUACAGCUCCAGGGCAAUACCCUCCACGUCAGACCUCUUAACAAAUAAAAAUUCAAAUUUUUAAUAUUUUUUUUUUAAUCUAGUGGUUUUUCUUACUCUUUCUCUGAACUCCGAAGUGUAAAAACUUGAUUUUUUUAAAUCACUAAGCCUUCAAUUCAUUCAUGUCAGCUGAAGGUCUAACAGAUUUUUGUAUUUGGGGUGCCUUUCUGGCUCUUCCUGACUUUCUCCUUCCUUAUGUUUAUCCUCAUUGUGGAAGACGGCCACAACUCCACUAUUUCGUGCAAAUUAGAGGUAGUGCUGGGGUCCCUGGCAAGUUCCCAAUAUGGGUCUCAGAUGACUUAAAUCCUUCCCAUGGGUACAUCGACACAUUAUUGAGCAAUUACAUUCUCUUGUGGCAGUCAUCUGUGGAAUAAGUAAACUCCCUCUAUUAGCCACACAAUGAUAUCAUGCACCAUAAAUGCAUGCUUGGCCUCCAUUGUGUCAACAAUCAGUUAUGUUCUCAAAGGAAGAAAUGCGAAUAUAAUUCUAAAACUACAGUGACUAAUAAACAGGUUAGUUUUAUUACUUGUUUCAGCCCUGAAUGCCAACAUUACAUUUAACUCAAAAGACUCCCAUAAAAGUAGAAAGCAUACAGGUAAGCAUAGAAUUAUUUAUUUGUUGUAAAUAUAUUAUAACUUUUGGGGUUGGGGUAGAAAGGGAGUCCGAAAGAGGAAAGUAACUCACGUUUUGAUCUUUUUUCUCCACUGACUUAAUGAAAGCUACUCAUAAUUUUCUCAUCGAUCACUUUUGCAAAGCUGUGACGUAUGUUACUGAUUGUGGAUCUGCUUGCACCGGCGGAAUAUUUAUACAAGAAGAUGUAAAGUUAUAUUUGAAAAUUAGAUCUCCGAUUACUCCGUAUAGUGCAAUAAAUAUUGCAAUGGGUCUUCCCCUUUCCCCCUUUUAAUGACACUUAUCUAAAUGUUUUGUAAAGCUUUGAAAGCUUCCAAGGGCAGAGUGUAUCCUAAAAGGUGACCUAAAUUUCUGGGUACCCUUUAAUAGCAUACACCAGCUAUCAUUACUCAGAUAGCCUGUGCUUGGAUGCUUUUUUCAGCCUUUCUGUGUGUUUGUGUGUCAUUCAGUGAUGUAGUUGAGGCUGAUCACUCACAGAUAUGGUAUUUUCAUUUGCUGCCCUGUGAAGCAGCAUCCACUGAUGCCUACAUAAUGUAAAGACUGGCUUCCUAUACACAUUCGAGACAGGAUGAGGCUAAGAAGCAAAAAAACAUGGGAAGUAUUUUUGCAAAGGGGAGAAUUGGGAAGAGUGUAAAGCUUCAUACUGUCCUCAGAUAAUGUAAUGGACUGGGACCUGUGAAUAGGAGAAGUCCAACACUAUUUUCUGCCUGGAACGCCCUGACAAUGAAGGUGGGCAGUGCUGGGGUCUCCUACACACAAGGCCAAUCAGGGGUUGUUUCCCAUGGGUCUUAAUGUUCUGGCUGGGGACAGAGGACAGAUGCCAGUGUGCUUUUCAAGGUUUUAAAGUAUUAUUCAGUCUGGAUGAAUGACUACCCUUUGUUUUGUCAUCAGAGAAUAUUUAUGACCGUCGAAGCAAGGCUGAGUUCCUGGAGACAGGAUAACGCGUGGCUUUCUGCUGCCAGACAGAGAGUUCCUUUCGGUGGUCACACCAAUGUUUUUUCAUACUCCCACGGACACCGCAACUUUUUUGGAUAAGGAAGAAGAUGAUGGAACACAGAUGAGGGAAAGAAAUGGCCUCAGAGAACUUGGAUACAUGGGGGAUCCAGUUUUUCAUUUUUGGUCCAUUGUAAGUUAUGGAAUCUUGCUAUUAGGAACAAAUCUGGAUGAACUGCUUUAUGGAACACAUUUUUUUAAGAGCUGUGGAAGCUGGAUUUGAUGGCUUCUAAACCACCACAAUUUCUUUUCACUUGGCAAGAACCUGAGGCACUCCACGUGUGAACGCGAGGUACGAUGAGCCAUUCUGUGGUGGUCAGUGCCAAGAAACAGUGGCUGGCAGUACUUCUCUCCAGAUGUACCAUUUGGCACAUUAAGCAAGUCUUUUCUUAGAAGGGGAACCUAUGGUUUUGCCAUGUAAUGCAAAACACCAAUGGAAUCACUACAUAAGCAAAAUGCCAGUAAUGGUAUAGUGGUCCAGCCACAAAGAUUGGUAUUGGUGCGGUAUGUACCUUCCAGUGAUCAGGAAUCUCCACUGACUGCCAUGACCUUUUGAAGAGGACAAAGAGUAGCCUCACAAUGAUGUUGGGCUGCUCCUUCAGCACCCUCAGACACAUCUGCUCUGGCCCAUGGAGUUCUGUAUAUCCAAGAGUGGUUUGGAUUAGGUAGUCAGCUGAAACUUCCAAAGCACAUAUUUUCUUACCAUGCUGCUGCAACUCAUCUCCAGAGACCUACAAACAAAAAGACCUGCAAAUGAAAGAAAGAAGUACUAUCAGGUGUUAUUAUGGUGCUGCUGACACAGUACAUCUGGAAGGAAAUGUGGAAAAUUUGUAUCCCUCUGUUUCACCUGUUUCUACAGCUUUCUCAACCACUAGUCAACAUUCAGUUGCAGCCCCAAGAAUUGCAGUAAAAUCCAUGACAAAUGUGGAUGGAGGUAAUAUUUUCUACACCUUCGCCAAAUAGUACUAAGAUCUAAGGACUUCCAGGAAAGCAUUGCCAAUGGGAUAGGUCUGCCACAUCUGAUUCAUGCUCCUCUUUUCCCCAAGUAGUAAAUCUUGGUGAAAAGUACAUGUUUUGUCAUGUUCUGGGUGUAUUUUUGAUGUCUGUUAUUUGAUUGAAAAGGCCAAGUCAGUAACUUGAUCAGAGAGUGGGAGGAGGUGAAGCUUGUGAGACUCCUUAUUCUUGUGUGGGUUGAACACACUGGACACUGUUCCAAGGAGCCUUCAUCUCUGUCAUUGAUGUGCUUCCCUAAUACAACAGAAGAUGUCUUUGUUCCUGACAGACAAAGAUAUCAACCAUUCUGGUGUCGUAGGGGUAUCUUUGUAUACGCACAUUUAUAUACGGAUGUGUGUGUGUACGUUUGCCUCUGUGUGCAAAUUUGGUUGAGAUGCUGCCAUUUAUACACAGCACUGCCUGGCAUCCUCUGUAGUACAAUGUCCAGCAACUUUAUCCUAAGCCGUGAUUUCUCUUUUUGGUUUUGUCUUCCUGAAGGUCCAGUUUCACGAGCCAUUUUGCUGUACAGAAAUCUGAUUUCACUGCUGUAUUUUUUCAAAGGUUCCCACUGUUUAUGAUGGUGGAAGAACUUGCAAAUGCAAGCCACACAGGCUCAAGAAAAGCAGAAGUUUCAAGAAGUAUUAAUUCAUGAUCUUGAAGCCAAUCUCGCAGGUUUUUUAUUUUUUUGGAGGUUUCUCUCAUGAAUGUGGAAUGCUUGGGGUUACAACACUGAGCACAGGCCCAAUCAUCAGGUAGUUAAAUUCCUGAAUGCUAUAAUUUUUGUGCCCACAGUCAGCUGUGGGUAUAAAAUUGUGCCCAAAAACUUGGAGGUCAGGGAAUACAAGGCCCAAACUAAGCAGAUUCUAAGUAACCUUUUUCUCUCUUUCCACCCAGAUGCAGUGGAGUAUUCCAUUUGCCGACAAGCCAGCAUGGUCUGACUUUCACAGAGGUAUGUCCAUCUGCGUGGUAUCUUGAGCAGCUUCCCGCUUGCAGCAAGGUGCCACUCAAACUGGCAAAGGUGCCAGGAUUUGUCCCUGUUAGCUCAAUGCUGUGAAUGAAGAGCAGAUAACAUUUUUCUUCCUCAGUUUCCCUCCUGCUCUAUUCUCCUCAGCAAAAUUCCCAUCAAAGCUUUGACCCUGAGCCUUAAAGGUAUUUAUUUACUCAAAUCUAAUACCUUAUGCCAAGGUAGGUGCCUGAUUAAAGAUUGAAAAUCAUUAGCUCGUGCAACCCACUCUCUCAGCAGUUUCAUUUGUCAUAUGUCAGUGCCUCAUAUCUAAUCUUGAAUGGUUUACAGCAAGAUCUACCUCCCAGAGUAAAUUCCCAUCACUGGACUGUACUGCUUCAGACUAAUGGUAGGAACAUUCCUUAAGUCCCUUUUCCACACACAGGCCCACUCCCACCCCAGUAUGAUCUUGCCAAGCAAAAUUUUCUAACUACUGCUACUUUGUUCAAUGAAUUGUGAAAUAUAAUGUUAAAGCUUUCUUAUCCCACAUAUUUUUAUACCUAUAUAAAUCAUACACUGAAAAUGCAAUUUGAGGGUUGUCCGCUGCCAGUUAAGUAGAAAAAGACUAGCAAAGGCUGAAAUAAAACAAAAUGAUACUCAUGAAAAGAAAUUCAUGCUUUCAAGUUCCAUAUCUAGACCCAACUGCAUAACCUCAGAUACAGUUUCUGUACAUAUUAAAAAUCCUAUCUGGAUAAAAUAUGUAGAAACAAUAGUAACAUUUUGUGUGUGUGUGUUUUGGCUUGCCUUUUCUGGUUUGUGUUUUCCUUAGUGGAAAUGCACAUUUUUGGACCAGAUGUUGAAUGUAACAAAAUCCAUAUUACUUUUUGACUGCAGCAUCAAAAUGAAAUAGAAAACUUCAGUUUUCCCCCAUCAAAUAUGCAAGUGAUCAAUUUUUGUUUUGGGUAAUAGCAACAACAAAAGAGGUGGAUCCUGGUCACAAGAUGUCACCACCCCUUUGAUACUCAUGCAGCUGCAGCCAUGAGAGCUG